GAUGAAGAACGCAGCGAAAUGCGAUAAGUAGUGUGAAUUGCAGAAUUCAGUGAAUCGUCGAAUCUUUGAACGCACAUUGCGCCCCUUGGUAUUCCAUGGGGCAUGCCUGUUCGAGCGUCAUUUGUACCUUCAAGCUCUGCUUGGUGUUGGGUGUUUGUCUCGCCUCUGCGUGUAGACUCGCCUUAAAACAAUUGGCAGCCGGCGUAUUGAUUUCGGAGCGCAGUACAUCUCGCGCUUUGCACUCAUAACGACGACGUCCAAAAGUACAUUUUUACACUCUUGACCUCGGAUCAGGUAGGGAUACCCGCUGAACUUAAGCAUAUCAAUAAGCGGAGGA
rnacentral:misc_RNA from 1 species